UACGAAGGUUGCUAGCGUUACUCGGAAUUAUUGGGCGUAAAGAGCGCGUAGGCGGUCAAACAAGUCAGAUGUGAAAGCCCAGGGCUUAACCCUGGAAUAGCAUUUGAAACUGUUUGACUUGAAUUUGGUAGAGGAUAGUGGAAUUCCUAGUGUAGGAGUGAAAUCCGUAGAUAUUAGGAGGAACACCAGUGGCGAAGGCGACUAUCUGGGCCAAUAUUGACGCUAAGGCGCGAAAGCGUGGGGAGCAAACAGG
rnacentral:rRNA from 1 species